UACAGGGGGGGCAAGCGUUGUUCGGAAUUACUGGGCGUAAAGGGCUUGUAGGUGGCCAACUAAGUCACACGUGAAAUCCCCAGGCUUAACCUGGGAACUGCGUGUGAUACUGGAUGGCUUGAAUCCGGGAGAGGGAUGCGGAAUUCCAGGUGUAGCGGUGAAAUGCGCAGAUAUCAGGAGGAACACCGGUGGCGAAGGCGCCACUCUGGGCCGAAACUGACGCUGAGGAGCGAAAGCGUGGGUAGCAAACAGG
rnacentral:rRNA from 1 species